rnacentral:rRNA from 1 species
GAGUUUGAUCAUGGCUCAGAUUGAACGCUGGCGGCAUGCCUUACACAUGCAAGUCGAACGGCAGCACGGGAGCUUGCUCCUGGUGGCGAGUGGCGAACGGGUGAGUAAUGCAUCGGAACGUAUCCUGGAGUGGGGGAUAACGUAGCGAAAGUUACGCUAAUACCGCAUAUUCUGUGAGCAGGAAAGCGGGGGACCUUCGGGCCUCGCGCUCUUGGAGCGGCCGAUGUCGGAUUAGCUAGUUGGUGAGGUAAAGGCUCACCAAGGCGACGAUCCGUAGCAGGUCUGAGAGGAUGAUCUGCCACACUGGAACUGAGACACGGUCCAGACUCCUACGGAGGCAGCAGUGGGGAAUUUUGGACAAUGGGGGCAACCCUGAUCCAGCCAUGCCGCGUGAGUGAAGAAGGCCUCGGUG